rnacentral:lncRNA from 1 species
AAAUUCUCUGUCUUUUUCCUAAUGAAGAUUACAGUUCCUAUCUUCACAGGUGCAGUUAGCUCUAAAUGAACUCACUGAUUUUUAAAGCAAGUUUUCAAGUAUAGUUUUAAACUACAACCAUUUCAGAAGUGCUGACCCAUGACUCAAAUCUCAAAAAGAAAUGCUACAGUUCACUGUUGGAAUGCGGACUUAAGAAAAAUAACAGAUGAUGCCACCAAAAGGGGAAAAUUUAACAGAAGGACACUGCUGAACCUGUGGGGACAAAGGAAGCGUGAAUCUUUCAUCAUAAAAGCCUUCUUGCUGAAUUCUUCCUUAACUUCAAAAACUAAAAAAGGGGC